rnacentral:rRNA from 1 species
UGGGGGAAUAUUGCACAAUGGGGGGAAACCCUGAUGCAGCGACGCCGCGUGAGCGAAGAAGUAUUUCGGUAUGUAAAGCUCUAUCAGCAGGGAAGAAAAUGACGGUACCUGACUAAGAAGCCCCGGCUAACUACGUGCCAGCAGCCGCGGUAAUACGUAGGGGGCAAGCGUUAUCCGGAUUUACUGGGUGUAAAAGGGAGCGUAGACGGAUGUGCAAGUCUGAAGUGAAAGCCCGGGGCUCAACCCCGGGACUGCUUUGGAAACUGUCAGGCUAGAGUGCUGGAGAGGUAAGUGGAAUUCCUAGUGUAGCGGUGAAAUGCGUAGAUAUUAGGAGGAACACCAGUGGCGAAGGCGGCUUACUGGACAGUGACUGACGUCGAGGCUCGAAAGCGUGGGGAGCAAACAGGAUUAGAUACCC